rnacentral:rRNA from 1 species
AUCUCUGCAAUAGGCGAAAGCUUGACAGGGUUACUCUGAGUGAUUCCCGCUAAGGGGAUCUUUUGGCACCUUUAAAAAUGGUGCAGAAUAAGGGGUGGGCAAGUCUGGUGUCAGCCGCCGCGGUAAUACCAGCACCCCGAGUGGUCGGGACGAUUAUUGGGCCUAAAGCAUCCGUAGCCGGUACUGCAAGUCUUCCGUUAAAUCCACCUGCUUAACAGUUGGGCUGCGGGGGAUACUACAGCGCUAGGAGGCGGGAGAGGCAAGCGGUACUCAAUGGGUAGGGGUAAAAUCCGCUGAUCCAUUGAAGACCACCAGUGGCGAAGGCGGCUUGCCAGAACGCGCUCGACGGUGAGGGAUGAAAGCUGGGGGAGCAAACCGGAUUAGAUACCCGGGUAGUCCCAGCUGUAAACGAUGCAGACUCGGUGAUGGGCUGGCCUUGUGCCAACCCAGUGCCGCAGGGAAGCCGUUAAGUCUGCCGCCUGGGGAGUACGGUCGCAAGACUGAAACUUAA